rnacentral:rRNA from 1 species
GGGCCCGCACAAGCGGUGGAUUAUGUGGAUUAAUUCGAUGCAACGCGAAAAACCUUACCUGGCCUUGACAUGUACCGAAUUUAGCAGAGAUGCUUUAGUGCUCGUAAGAGAACGGUAACACAGGUGCUGCAUGGCUGUCGUCAGCUCGUGUCGUGAGAUGUUGGUUAAGUCCCGCAACGAGCGCAACCCUUGCCAUUAAUUGCCAUCAUUUAGUUGGGCACUUUAAUGGGACUGCCGGUGACAAACCGGAGGAAGGUGGGGAUGACGUCAAGUCCUCAUGGCCCUUAUGGCCAGGGCUUCACACGUAAUACAAUGGUCGGUACAGAGGGCUGCUAACCCGCGAGGGGGUG